CCUACGGGUGGCUGCAGUGGGGAAUAUUGCACAAUGGGCGCAAGCCUGAUGCAGCGACGCCGCGUGAGCGAUGAAGGCCUUCGGGUCGUAAAGCUCUGUCCUAAGGGAAGAAUAAUGACGGUACCUUAGGAGGAGGCCCCGGCUAACUACGUGCCAGCAGCCGCGGUAAUACGUAGGGGGCGGGCGUUAUCCGGAAUCACUGGGCGUAAAGGGUGCGUAGGCGGCCCUGCGAGUCAGGAGGUAAAUCCCUCGGCUCAACCGAGGUCAGCUCUUGAAGGUGUAGGGCUGGAGUGCAGGAGAGGGCAGCGGGAUUCCUGGGUUAGCGGUGAAAUGCGUAGAUAUUAGGGGGAACACCAGUGGCGAUGGCGGCUCUCUGUCCUGCAACUGACACUGAGUCUCGUGAGCGUGGGGAGCGAACCGGAUUAGAUACCCUAGUAGAC
rnacentral:rRNA from 1 species